CCCUUAGAUGUCCUGGGCCGCACGCGCGCUACACUGAUGCAUGCAACGAGUUUAUAACCUUGGCCUGAAAGGUCUGGGUAAUCUUUUGAACGUGCAUCGUGAUAGGGAUAGAUUAUUGCAAUUGUUAAUCUUGAACGAGGAAUUCCUAGUAAACGCGAGUCAUCAGCUCGCAUUGAUUACGUCCCUGCCCUUUGUACACACCGCCCGUCGCACCUACCGAUUGAAUGGUUCGGUGAAGAUCUCGGACUUCGAUAUUUAUUCUUUAUUGAGUUUAUAUUGUGGGAAGUUAUCUAAACCUCAUCAUUUAGAGGAAGGUGAAGUCGGAACA
rnacentral:rRNA from 1 species